rnacentral:rRNA from 1 species
AGAUUGAACGCUGGCGGCAGGCCUAACACAUGCAAGUCGAGCGGUAGAGAGGUGCUUGCAUCUCUUGAGAGCGGCGGACGGGUGAGUAAUGCCUAGGAAUCUGCCUAGUGGUGGGGGAUAACGUUCGGAAACGGACGCUAAUACCGCAUACGAUCCAAGGAUGAAAGCGGGGGACCGUAAGGCCUCGCGCGACUGGAGCGGCUGAUAUCAGAUUAGCUUGUUGGUGAGGUAAAAGCUCACCAAGGCGACGAUCUGUAGCUGGUUUGAGAGAACGACCAGCCACACUGGGACUGAGACACGGCCCAGACUCCUACGGGAGCAGCAGUGGGGAAUUUUGGACAAUGGGCGAAAGCCUGAUCCAGCAAUGCCGCGUGCAGGAAGAAGGCCUUCGGUUGUAAACUGACUUUGUACGGAGCGAAAAGGUCUGCCUAAUACGGCGGACCCAUGACGUAACCGUAAGAAUAAGCAACCGGACUAACUACCGUAGCCGAGCAGACCG